UACGUAGGGGUGCAAGCGUUUAAUCGGAAUUACUGGGCGUAAAGCGUGCGCAGGCGGCUUUGCAAGACAGAUGUGAAAUCCCCGGGCUCAACCUGGGAACUGCAUUUGUGACUGCAUGGCUAGAGUGCGGCAGAGGGGGAUGGAAUUCCGCGUGUAGCAGUGAAAUGCGUGAGAUAUGCGGAGAACACCGGAUGGCGAAGGCAAUCCCCUGGGCCUGCACUGACGCUCAUGCACGAAAGCGUGGGGAGCAAACAGG
rnacentral:rRNA from 1 species